rnacentral:rRNA from 1 species
GACGAACGCUGGCGGCGUGCUUAACACAUGCAAGUCGAACGGAAAGGCCCUGCUUUUGUGGGGUGCUCGAGUGGCGAACAGGUGAGUGACACGUGAGUAACAUGCCCUUGACUGUGGGAUAACUCCAGGAAAAUGGGGCUCAUACCCGAUAGGAGCUCCUGCUGCACGGUGGGGGUUAGAAAGUGCCGGCGGUUGGGGAUGGUAUAGAGGCUUACCAGCUGGUUGGGGGGGUUGUGGAGUACAAAGCCUUUGAGGGGUAGCCGGCCUGGGAGGGGGACCGGCCACCUUGGUACUGAGAGAGGCCCCAGACGCCUACGGGAGGCAGUAGGGGGGAACAUUGCACAAUGGGCGGAAGCCUGAUGCAGCAACGUCGCGUGCGGGAUGACGGCUUUCGGGUGGUAAACCGCUUUCGCCGGUGACGAAGCGUGAGUGACGGUAAUGGGUAAAGAAGCACCGGCUAACUACGUG